AACGAACGCUGGCGGCAGGCUUAACACAUGCAAGUCGAACGCCCCGCAAGGGGAGUGGCAGACGGGUGAGUAACGCGUGGGAAUCUACCCAGAUCUUCGGAACAACUGAGGGAAACUUCAGCUAAUACCGGAUACGCCCUACGGGGGAAAGAUUUAUCGGUUCUGGAUGAGCCCGCGUUGGAUUAGCUAGUUGGUGAGGUAACGGCUCACCAAGGCGACGAUCCAUAGCUGGUCUGAGAGGAUGAUCAGCCACACUGGGACUGAGACACGGCCCAGACUCCUACGGGAGGCAGCAGUGGGGAAUAUUGGACAAUGGGCGAAAGCCUGAUCCAGCCAUGCCGCGUGAGUGAUGAAGGCCUUAGGGUUGUAAAGCUCUUUCAGUGGGGAAGAUAAUGACGGUACCCACAGAAGAAGCCCCGGCUAACUUCGUGCCAGCCGCCGCCGUAACAC
rnacentral:rRNA from 1 species